UACGGAGGGGGCUAGCGUUGUUCGGAAUUACUGGGCGUAAAGCGCACGUAGGCGGCUUUGCAAGUCAGAGGUGAAAGCCCGGGGCUCAACCCCGGAAUUGCCUUUGAGACUGCAUCGCUAGAAUUGUGUAGAGGUAAGUGGAAUUCCGAGUGUAGAGGUGAAAUUCGUAGAUAUUCGGAAGAGGGCCGGUGGGUAAGUCGACUUACUGGACACAUAUUGACGCUGAGGUGCGAAAGCGUGGGGAGCAAACAGG
rnacentral:rRNA from 1 species